UCGGGAAUUUUGGGCAAUGCCCGGAAGGGUGAACCAGCCAUCCCGCGUGAAGGAUGAAGGGGCUCUGCCUUGUAAACUUCUUUUGAAUGGGACGAAAAAGCCUCACUUGUGAGGAACUGACGGUACCAUUAGAAUAAGCACCGGCUAACUCCGUGCCAGCAGCCGCGGUAAUACGGAGGGUGCGAGCGUUAUCCGGAAUCACUGGGUUUAAAGGGUGCGUAGGCGGCUGUAUAAGUCAGUGGUGAAAGGCUGUGGCUUAACCAUGGGAUUGCCAUUGAUACUGUACGGCUUGAAUUAGGAUGAGGUUGGCGGAAUGUGACAUGUAGCGGUGAAAUGCUUAGAUAUGUCAUGGAACAUCGAUUGCGAAGGCAGCUGACUGGACCUUAAUUGACGCUGAGGCACGAAAGCGUGGGGAGCGAACAGGAUUACAUACCCAGGUAGUCCCUGAGCGGGCUGGCAAGGCGCAU
rnacentral:rRNA from 1 species